rnacentral:rRNA from 1 species
UACGAAGGGGGCUAGCGUUGUUCGGAAUUACUGGGCGUAAAGCGCACGUAGGCGGAUACUUAAGUCAGGGGUGAAAUCCCGGGGCUCAACCCCGGAACUGCCUUUGAUACUGGGAAGCUUGAGUCCGGAAGAGGUGAGUGGAACUCCGAGUGUAGAUGUGAAAUUCGUAGAUAUUCGGAAGAACACCAGUGGCGAAGGCGGCUCACUGGUCCGGUACUGACGCUGAGGUGCGAAAGCGUGGGGAGCAAACAGG